rnacentral:rRNA from 1 species
GAUGAACGCUGGCGGCGUGCCUAAUACAUGCAAGUCGAGCGAACUGAUUAGAAGCUUGCUUCUAUGACGUUAGCGGCGGACGGGUGAGUAACACGUGGGCAACCUGCCUGUAAGACUGGGAUAACUUCGGGAAACCGAAGCUAAUACCGGAUAGGAUCUUCUCCUUCAUGGGAGAUGAUUGAGAGAUGGUUUCGGCUAUCACUUACAGAUGGGCCCGCGGUGCAUUAGCUAGUUGGUGAGGUAACGGCUCACCAAGGCAACGAUGCAUAGCCGACCUGAGAGGGUGAUCGGCCACACUGGGACUGAGACACGGCCCAGACUCCUACGGGAGGCAGCAGUAGGGAAUCUUCCGCAAUGGACGAAAGUCUGACGGAGCAACGCCGCGUGAGUGAUGAAGGCUUUCGGGUCGUAAAACUCUGUUGUUAGGGAAGAACAAGUACAAGAGUAACUGCUUGUACCUUGACGGUACCUAACCAGAAAGCCACGGCUAACUACGUGCCAGCAGCCGCCGUAA